CCUUCAAAGAGCAGAUCUUUCUUCAGGAUUCACCCUUUCCUCUGAAAGCAUUUAAGAGAGGCUCACUUAAUUGAAAAAGAAUAAUGAUAAAUUCCUAAUUCACACAGCUGAUAAAGAAGAUGGUGUAAUUUACAAGAAUUAAAAAAUACAGUGAAAAUAAAGAGAAGAAUGUGAUUUUAAACUCACAUUACUAAGAUUCCAUAAAGUCUCAAUCAAGCGCUUCGAAUGAAAGCAUCGCAAGUCUUCAAAAUGAAACUCCAGAAAAAACACCGGCAGUUCCCAGCCUACAAGAUCGACUGCACGAGGAACUGAAACGUCGAGUCAGCUUGACCAACAGCAAGAAAGCGCAACCGGUAGCUUUCAUUACGCCACUUUCCUCUGCCGAAGACGUCCAGUUCUGGCUGAGCGCCAAGGGAUUUGCUGCCAGGUCGUUACACCAUCCUCAAAAAACAUUGGCACAUUGGUUUCUAAACAUUUAAAACAAUGUGCUUUGUUUUGAAGCUUUGGACACAGCAAAAGUUUCAAAAUAUGCGAGGCGACGAGCUCUUUGCCAUGGGGAAACUGCAGAUGGAGAAAGAGCUCGGCCUUGAGGAAGGAUUCCGGCUCUUCAACCAGAUCACCAUACAGAAGAAUAUAUGUGGUUUCAAGACUUUGAGCUCGAAGGAGCUGAGUUCGGUUCUGGAGGCCCGAAGAAAGAAGAUCGACCCGGACGACGAGUUCAGUGACAGAAGGGACUCGAAUGACAGUGUGGCGUCCUCUCUAGAAUAAAGUUUAUUAUACUUAU